AUUGAACGCUGGCGGCAUGCCUAACACAUGCAAGUCGAACGGAGCGGCGGACGGGUGAGUAAUGCCUAGGAAUGUGCCCAGUAGUGGGGGAUAACGACCGGAAAGGGGAGCUAAUACCGCAUACUAUCAGAUGAGCCUAGGUCGGAUUAGCUAGUUGGUGGGGUAAAGGCCUACCAAGGCGACGAUCCGUAACUGGUCUGAGAGGAUGACCAGCCACACUGGAACUGAGACACGGCCCAGACUCCUACGGGAGGCAGCAGUGGGGAAUAUUGGACAAUGGGCGAAAGCCUGAUCCAGCCAUGCCGCGUGUGUGAAGAAGGCCUUCGGAUUGUAAAGCACUUUAAGUUGGGAGGCGGUACCAACAGAAUAAGCACCGGCUAACUACGUGCCAGCAGCCGCGGUAAUAC
rnacentral:rRNA from 1 species